AAGUCGUACGGAGAGUGGGGCAACUCACUCUCAGUGGCAAACGGGUGAGUAACGCGUGAAUAACCUGCCUUUGAGAAGGGGAUAACUGUCCGAAAGGAUAGCUAAUACCCUAUAUUGCCUUUUGUCACUAAGGCAAAAAGUGAAAGCGAGGCUGUCAAAGGCUUCGGCUCAAAGAGGGGUUCGCGUCCUAUCAGGUAGUUGGUGGGGUAAUGGCCUACCAAGCCAAUGACGGGUAGCUGGUCUUAGAGGAUGAUCAGCCACAGUGGGACUGAGACACGGCCCGCACCCCUACGGGGGGCAGCAGUGGGGAAUCGUGGGCAAUGGGCGCAAGCCUGACCCCGCAAUGCCGCGUGAGGGAAGAAGCCCUUCGGGGUGUAAACCUCUGUCAGAUGGGAAGAU
rnacentral:rRNA from 1 species